GUUAUACCUAGUAUGUUUCGCCUGUCAAUUAUAAUCUUGAAAUUGAAUUUUGUUCGUGCAACAAAUGGAAAGUGUCGUGUCUUAAUAUAUCUUUAAGUUGAAGAAAUGAAUCAAAAUAAAAUUCGUAUUUGACUACCAGUAACCUAUAGGCUAUACCAUACGUCUAGGCUGUAUAGGCUAUAGUACGAUUUAUUUUGACUUUUGGAUGUGUUGUUGACCUCGUGCCUUCUAAGUUCUACUCAUGCGUUUUAGUUAACUGUAAGAAUAAGACAUCAACUCAUUCCAAUUUUUAGUAAUGAUGGGCUGCUAAGUGAUUAACUAUGGAUUACCCUGAAGAAACUAGAAGAUCAAAACAUUGGCUGAAAUGGAUGACAUUGUUUUAACUACACGUUAGGAAAGGAAGCCACUUCCGUUAGUUUUUUUUAAAU